rnacentral:rRNA from 1 species
UACGUAGGGGGCAAGCGUUGUCCGGAUUGAUUGGGCGUAAAGAGUGUGUAGGCGGCCAGGUAGGUCGGUUGUGAAAACUGGAGGCUCAACCUUCAGAGGUCGACCGAAACCAUCUGGCUAGAGUCCGGGAGAGGAGAGUGGAAUUCCUGGUGUAGCGGUGAAAUGCGCAGAUAUCAGGAAGAACACCCGUGGCGAAAGCGGCUCUCUGGAACGGUACUGACGCUGAGACGCGAAAGCGUGGGGAGCGAACAGG